rnacentral:sRNA from 1 species
UGCUGAUCUGCUGCUUUGCAGCAGUUGCUU